UACGGAGGGUGCAAGCGUUAUCCGGAUUCACUGGGUUUAAAGGGUGCGUAGGCGGGCAGGUAAGUCAGUGGUGAAAUCUCCGGGCUUAACCCGGAAACUGCCGUUGAUACUAUCUGUCUUGAAUAUCGUGGAGGUAAGCGGAAUAUAUCAUGUAGCGGUGAAAUGCUUAGAUAUGACAUAGAACACCCAUUGCGAAGGCAGCUUACUACACGAUCAUUGACGCUGAGGCACGAAAGCGUGGGGAGCAAACAGG
rnacentral:rRNA from 1 species